rnacentral:rRNA from 1 species
AUUGGACGCUGGCGGCAUGCUUUACACAUGCAAGUCGAACGGCAGCGCGGGCUUCGGCCUGGCGGCGAGUGGCGAACGGGUGAGUAAUUCAUCGGAACGUGCCCAGUAGUGGGGGAUAGCCCGGCGAAAGCCGGAUUAAUACCGCAUACGACCUGAGGGUGAAAGCGGGGGACCGAAAUGCCUCGCGCUUUUUGAGCGGCCGAUGGCGGAUUAGCUAGUUUGUGGGGGAAAGGCUUACCAAGGCGACGAUCCGUAGCUGGUCUGUGAGGACGACCAGCCACACUGGGACUGGGACACGGCCCAGACUCCUACGGGAGGCAGCAGUGGGGAAUUUUGGACAAUGGGGGCAACCCUGAUCCAGCCAUGCCGCGUGCGGGAAAAAGGCCUUCGGGUUGUAAACCGCUUUUGUUCGGGAAGAAAUCCUCUGGGCUAAUACCCCGGGGGGAUGACGGUACCGGAAGAAUAAGCACCGGCUAACUACGUG